GUCGUUUCACCUCCCCGGUCUCUCGCAAAUGCUCGCACAGAAUCGGAGUUACAGCUGGAUGUGGAAAAAAUAACUGAGUUGUUUGGUGGUGCUAUAACGCGGAGCUACAACAGUGGGCAGCUAUCCACCGGUGUAUGACAGAAAGGACAUGCCGCGACCGCCGAUCGACCGGUGUUUGCUAACGCGGAGGUCAAUCGUGGAUCAGGGAAAGCGAAGGCAGGAGCGUGAGGUGAGCUGAAUUUCAGGUAAGAAGUUAUGACCUGCACUCUAUUUGGGUCAGAUAUAAACCGAGUUUAGGUGUAGUUUAUUUAGCAGCAGUUCUCUUAUGUGUUG
ensembl:lncRNA